AAGUCGUAACAAGGUUUCCGUAGGUGAACCUGCGGAAGGAUCAUUAUCACGUUAUCCACGUAUAAACCAUUGUGAACCGUACCUCAACCUCUGAGUUCAGAGAGAGAGAGAAGGGGAAAGAGAAAGGGAAAGAUUCGUUUUUCUCUUUUUUCGACUCUUUUUCUUUCUUUCUUGCUCAGAGCGUAUUAACCCCAUAUUAACCAUUUUAACCCAAUCAUUAUAACUUUUAAACUAACCAUUAUUUCAUACUCUCCGGAGAUGAAAUUCAUUACGAAACAAAGAACAACUCUUAGCAACGGAUAUCUUGGUUCUCGUAACGAUGAAAAACGCAGC
rnacentral:misc_RNA from 1 species